rnacentral:rRNA from 1 species
CAGCAGCCGCGGGAAUACGGAGGGUGCAAGCGUUAUCCGGAUUUAUUGGGUUUAAAGGGUCCGUAGGCGGAUCUGUAAGUCAGUGGUGAAAUCUCACAGCUUAACUGUGAAACUGCCAUUGAUACUGCAGGUCUUGAGUAAAUUUGAAGUGGCUGGAAUAAGUAGUGUAGCGGUGAAAUGCAUAGAUAUUACUUUGAACACCAAUUGCGAAGGCAGGUCACUAAGAUUUAACUGACGCUGAUGGACGAAAGCGUGGGGAGCGAACAGGAUUAGAGACCCCCGUAGUCCCUGUCUCUUAUAC